CUUUUAAUGAGAGUUUGAUCCUGGCUCAGGACGAACGCUGGCGGCGUGCCUAAUACAUGCAAGUAGAACGCUGAGGUUUGGUGUUUACACUAGACUGAUGAGUUGCGAACGGGU
rnacentral:rRNA from 2 species